UACGAAGGGGGCUAGCGUUGCUCGGAAUCACUGGGCGUAAAGGGCGCGUAGGCGGCUGUACAAGUCAAAGGUGAAAUCCCUCGGCUCAACUGAGGAACUGCCUUUGAAACUGUACGGCUUGAGGCCGGGAGGGGGUAGCGGAAUUCCCAAUGUAGCGGUGAAAUGCGUAGAUAUCGGGUAGAACACCAGUGGCGAAGGCGGCUAUCUGGACGGACACUGACGCUGAGACGCGAAAGCGUGGGGAGCAAACAGG
rnacentral:rRNA from 1 species